UAACACGUGGGUACCUACCUUGAGGUGAGGAGUACCACCGAGAAAUCGGUGACAAGACCGCAUACGCUCGGGCUUCCGAGCAAAGCUUCGCAAGAGGCGUCUUGGGAUGGGCCUGCGCCUGAUUAGCUAGUUGGUGGGGUAACAGCUCACCAAGGCCACGAUCAGUAGCUGGUCUGAGAGGAUGAUCAGCCACACUGGGAUUGAGAACGGCCCAG
rnacentral:rRNA from 1 species